GACGAACGCUGGCGGCGUGCUUAACACAUGCAAGUCGAGCGGAAAGGCCCUUCGGGGUACUCGAGCGGCGAACGGGUGAGUAACACGUGAGUAACCUGCCCCAGACUUUGGGAUAACCCUCGGAAACGGGGGCUAAUACCGGAUACGACACAGCUUCGCAUGGGGUCUGUGUGGAAAGUUUUUCGGAUUGGGAUGGGCUCGCGGCCUAUCAGCUUGUUGGUGGGGUGAUGGCCUACCAAGGCGACGACGGGUAGCCGGCCUGAGAGGGCGACCGGCCACACUGGGACGGGGCUGCGGCCCAGACUCCUACGGGAGGCAGCAGUGGGGAAUAUUGCACAAUGGGCGGAGGCCUGGUGCAGCGACGCCGCGUGAGGGAUGACGGCCUUCGGGUUGUAAACCUCUUUCAGCAGGGACGAAGCGUUAGUGACGGUACCUGCAGAAGAAGCGCCGGCCAACUACGUG
rnacentral:rRNA from 1 species